rnacentral:rRNA from 1 species
CAGCUAGUUGGCGGGGUAAAGGCCCACCAAGGCGACGAUCGGUAGCUGGUCUGAGAGGACGACCAGCCACACUGGAACUGAGACACGGUCCAGACUCCUACGGGAGGCAGCAGUGGGGAAUUUUGGACAAUGGGCGCAAGCCUGAUCCAGCAAUGCCGCGUGAGUGAAGAAGGCCUUCGGGUUGUAAAGCUCUUUUGUCAGGGAAGAAACGGGUUCCUCUAAUACAGGGUCCUAAUGACGGUACCUGAAGAAUAAGCACCGGCUAACUACGUGCCAGCAGCCGCGGUAAUACGUAGGGUGCAAGCGUUAAUCGGAAUUACUGGGCGUAAAGCGUGCGCAGGCGGUUUUGUAAGACUGACGUGAAAUCCCCGGGCUCAACCUGGGAAUGGCGUUGGUGACUGCAAGGCUAGAGUUUGGCAGAGGGGGGUAGAAUUCCACGUGUAGCAGUGAAAUGCGUAGAUAUGUGGAGGAACACCGAUGGCGAAGGCAGCCCCCUGGGUCAAAACUGACGCUCAUGCACGAAAGCGUGGGGAGCAAACAGGAUUAGAUACCCUGGUAGUCCACGCCCUAAACGAUGUCUACUAGUUGUCGGGUC